CGUUUCGAUAAUAAUUAUUGUCGCGAUGACGCGCCGAAACAAUAAUAAUAAUACGGAUAAUGAUAAUGGCGAUUACAGUAUUGCGACCUUCGAGCGAACAACAAUACCGUACGUAAUAACAAUAAUAAUAAUAAUAAUGAUAAUAGUAAUGAAGCACGUAUACCGCGACGAUAUCGGAACGGCGGCGGCGUAACCGAAAAAAACGCGGUUUCGCGAGAAAAAACAUACGGUUUUAAGCGAUAUUUUUAAUUUUUUUUUCCGCUCCAAACAAAUAGGCUGAAGAACCGUAGACGCGUAACGGUAUACAGG